CCUACGGGUGGCAGCAGUGGGGGAUAUUGCACCAUGGGGGAAACCCUGAUGCAGCGACGCCGCGUGGGCGAAGAAGUAUUUCGGUAUGUAAAGCCCUAUCAGCAGGGAAGAAGAAAUGACGGUACCUGAGUAAGAAGCACCGGCUAAAUACGUGCCAGCAGCCGCGGUUAUACGUAUGGUGCAAGCGUUAUCCGGAUUUACUGGGUGUAAAGGGAGCGUAGACGGCAGUGCAAGUCUGGAGUGAAACGCGGGGGCUCAACCCCCGGACUGCUCUGGAAACUGUACGGCUGGAGUGCAGGAGAGGUAAGUGGAAUUCCUAGUGUAGCGGUGAAAUGCGUAGAUAUUAGGAGGAACACCAGUGGCGAAGGCGGCUUACUGGACUGUAACUGACGUUGAGGCUCGAAAGCGUGGGGAGCAAACAGGAUUAGAUACCCUAGUAGUC
rnacentral:rRNA from 1 species